rnacentral:lncRNA from 1 species
GAGUACAAGAGUCACGGAAAAAGCAAGGACAAACUACGUUUAAUAUUCUGGUGGAGCAAUAGGAUGUGACUACAAAUACUAUUCAGGUAAAUAUGGGGCUUAGGUAUAGUCAGUAGUGGUUGCAGAAAAUAUAAGAUUAAAAUAAAAAUAUUAAGCAUCUGCUAAGUAUCAGGAGUUAAGCUAAUCUUCUUUAUGUAAUUUACAAAAACAUAUCCCUCACAACAGUUCCAUGAUGUCGUCUCGUCAUGAUUAGUGUGAUCCUCCUGAAGAACAAACAGGUGCAUUAAAUAACUUGCCCAGGGAUGCAUAGCUAGUUGGUGGCAAAACCAGGACUAAGAGGCCAGUUCAUCUGACUUCAGAGGUCAUGUGGAUUAGUGUUUUUCCCUUAACACUAUGUCUCUCUAUCCUUGUCUGUUUUUGAUAAUGCAGUGUUUGAAAUUUUACUUAUGUUGCUCAGAAACAACUUGGGAUAUGUGUAGCUCUAAACACUCAGAACUAAUAAAAUUACAUUGAUCUGUAAUACAUCAGAAUCACAGGACAAAGCACUAUCCAAAGUAAUUCUAGCUACUUUUGCCAAUUUAGCAGUAAUUAGGUCUAGGGAGGCUGGGGAGUCCUGUGUUCCAAGCAUAUCUAGAAGAUUAUACUCUUACCACCAAGCUUCCAAUUAUAUUUUGAAGAUUGUUUUCAUUACCAUCCAGGAAAGAGGCUGUAUAACCUUGUUUUCCCCCCAUUGUUCCAACCAGAAUAAAUCUGGCUUUAUUUAAAGAAAAACAAACUAAAACCUACCCCAAAUACCUCAGACUGGAAUAUUUUAUCUUUGCUUCUGGCAUGAAAAUGAUGGUUGCUAAGAGAUCCAGAGAAGUGAAAAGAAAAAUGAGACAAAGGAGGCUGAAAUAAUGUUUGCCUGGUUACUCGGAACACCAUGCAGGGAAACAAGAAACAGAAGCAAAGCUAAUAAAGUUGAAGACAUUAGGAACCAGAACUAUAUUACGUGUAGAAAGACUGCCAAGUGCAGUGAAGGUCAAAUGGAGAUGAAGGAAGAUGCUGAGAAGACAAGCCCAAAGCUAGACUUUCAAGCAAUGGGACAGAACAUAUCUCUUCAAAGAAGGUUUUAUGAGUU